rnacentral:tRNA from 1 species
GCAUUGGUAAUCCCACAGCAGAAUUCUUACCUUUCAUGCAGAAGGUCUGGGUUCAAUUCCUAGCCAAUGCG